GUUUGAUCCUGGCUCAGAUUGAACGCUGGCGGCAUGCCUUACACAUGCAAGUCGAACGGUAACGCGGGGCAACCUGGCGACGAGUGGCGAACGGGUGAGUAAUACAUCGGAACAUGCCCAGUAGUGGGGGAUAGCCCGGCGAAAGCCGGAUUAAUACCGCAUACGACCUACGGGUGAAAGCGGGGGAUCGAAAGACCUCGCGCUAUUGGAGCGGCCGAUGUCAGAUUAGCUAGUUGGUGGGGUAAAAGCCUACCAAGGCGACGAUCUGUAGCUGGUCUGAGAGGACGACCAGCCACACUGGGACUUAGACACGGCCCAGACUCCUACGGGAGGCAGCAGUGGGGAAUUUUGGACAAUGGGGGCAACCCUGAUCCAGCCAUGCCGCGUGCGGGAAGAAGGCCUUCGGGUUGUAAACCGCUUUUGUCGGGGAAGAAAAGGUACGCGCUAAUACCGCGGACUAAUGACGGUACCCGAAGAAUAAGCACCGGCUAACUACGUGCCAGCAGCCGCGGUAAUACGUAGGGUGCAAGCGUUAAUCGGAAUUACUGGGCGUAAAGCGUGCGCAGGCGGCUUUGCAAGACAGAUGUGAAAUCCCCGGGCUCAACCUGGGAACUGCAUUUGUGACUGCAUGGCUAGAGUGCGGCAGAGGGGGAUGGAAUUCCGCGUGUAGCAGUGAAAUGCGUAGAUAUGCGGAGGAACACCGAUGGCGAAGGCAAUCCCCUGGGCCUGCACUGACGCUCAUGCACGAAAGCGUGGGGAGCAAACAGGAUUAGAUACCCUGGUAGUCCACGCCCUAAACGAUGUCAACUGGUUGUUGGACGGCUUGCUGUUCAGUAACGAAGCUAACGCGUGAAGUUGACCGCCUGGGGAGUACGGCCGCAAGGUUGAAACUCAAAGGAAUUGACGGGGACCCGCACAAGCGGUGGAUGAUGUGGUUUAAUUCGAUGCAACGCGAAAAACCUUACCUACCCUUGACAUGCCAGGAACUUACCAGAGAUGGUUUGGUGCUCGAAAGAGAGCCUGGACACAGGUGCUGCAUGGCCGUCGUCAGCUCGUGUCGUGAGAUGUUGGGUUAAGUCCCGCAACGAGCGCAACCCUUAUCAUUAGUUGCUACACAAGGGCACUCUAAUGAGACUGCCGGUGACAAACCGGAGGAAGGUGGGGAUGACGUCAGGUCAUCAUGGCCCUUAUGGGUAGGGCUACACACGUCAUACAAUGGCCGGUACAGAGGGCUGCCAACCCGCGAGGGGGAGCUAAUCUCAGGAAACCGGUCGUAGUCCGGAUCGCAGUCUGCAACUCGACUGCGUGAAGUCGGAAUCGCUAGUAAUCGCGGAUUAGCUUGCCGCGGUGAAUACGUUCCCGGGUCUUGUACACACCGCCCGUCACACCAUGGGAGCGGGUUCUGCCAGAAGUAGUUAGCCUAACCGUAAGGAGGGCGAUUACCACGGCAGGGUUCGUGACUGGGGUGAAGUCGAAACAAGGUA
rnacentral:rRNA from 1 species